rnacentral:rRNA from 1 species
ACGGAAGGCAGCAGUGGGGAAUAUUGCACAAUGGGCGAAAGCCUGAUGCAGCGACGCCGCGUGAACGAAGAAGUAUUUCGGUAUGUAAAGUUCUAUCAGCAGGGAAGAUAAUGACGGUACCUGACUAAGAAGCACCGGCUAAAUACGUGCCAGCAGCCGCGGUAAUACGUAUGGUGCAAGCGUUAUCCGGAUUUACUGGGUGUAAAGGGAGCGCAGGCGGCGCGGCAAGUCUGAAGUGAAAUCCCGGGGCUCAACCCCGGAACUGCUUUGGAAACUGUCGUGCUAGAGUGUCGGAGGGGUAAGCGGAAUUCCUAGUGUAGCGGUGAAAUGCGUAGAUAUUAGGAGGAACAUCGGUGGCGAAGGCGGCUUACUGGGCUUUUACUGACGCUGAGGCUCGAAAGCGUGGGGAGCAAACAGGAUUAGAUACCCUGGUA